UGAACCAGUGACCGCGGCGUGUGAGGACGUCACCUUGUGUGUUUGCUGCUGACGCCGGACGCUGCACUUUGUGUUUGGACAAUAAGAACCAGUAAACAGGACCGUCACCCGUGGCCUCUGUUCUCCACAUGAUGGAGGCAGGACGGAUCACCAGAGUCCUUUGUCUUCAUCUGGCUUGAAAUGUUGUUGUUGCUGUUAUAAAUACUUUGCAGCUCGAUGAUCAGGUCUGUGUUCUUUGUUCGACUGCUGUGCAGGUACAGAAUGUGGGCCUCCGCCUUCUUUUUCAGGUUUAAACUUCAGGUUUUUUUUAUGUAAGUGAGCUAAACCUUCGACGCCAUCUUGACUCCAUUGGCAGAAACACUGAUAAAUAAUAUAUUAGGGUUUUUUCUAACAGUGCUUCAUAUUUUGCAGCCGGAAACAUCUGUUGCUCUGUUACACAUCUUCCCGUCUUCUCAGGAAUCCUAAGAAUAAAAUGCAUUGACACUUUAAACCAUGUAAACAAAGCUGCUUUGGUGCUUUUUUCUACUCAGGUCUGCAGCGAAUUAAGGGAGAGCAGGAAGAUGCUCAACGAGCUGCAGACUGAGCGUGUAAUUCCCUCCAUGUUUGCUUCCUCAGGGUUCACUCACCCACUUCCUCUCAUCCUCCAUGCGUCUCCGUCUGAAGGACCCCCCCCCCCCCCCCCCUUGUGCUGGUGUUUUCUCUCACCUAGUACAGAAACGCCGCACAAUUAAAGCUGCAACAAAUUGUUUCUCUCACCUGUUUGUUAGGAGCCUGUGUCCAAACCUGCGAGUGGAAGUCGAAGCGCUUCGGUCACGGCUCGGUGUUCAGAGAAAAAGACGCCGCGCGGUGAUUCCAGCGUAGCCGUGUUGUGUUGCUCCCUCUCCUCUGUGGGUAUUAACCUCUGCCUGUGGCGCUGAAGGCCUCCUAAAAAAUUCAUAGCCAAUGAAACCGCGUGGUUCAGCAUGACAGAUUGGAUUUUCAUCACGAGUCGUCGCGGUUGAGUGAACGCUUUGCUUUCUACCGUGUGUCAUCAAUCCCUCUUCUUCCACAUGUGUUUUGGGCUGCGUUUCAUCUUUCUUGAGGUUUUUAGCCCGUCAGCGCAUUUUUGUCUCUGCUCUAAUAAAAUUCCCUCACCUCACACAUCGGUCGCUAAGCCUGCAUCCAUAGUCAUUGUGUGUAAGUAAAUAUGAGGAACCGCUGCGUUCUGCCUCCAUCCCAGCAGGUUUAGGCCCAGUAGCCGGUUCUGGAGCUGUCCGGGCCUCAGUGGAUGAGCUGGUGGCAGCAUUGGAGACAUGACGGCAUCUAAAUGGAUCAUUGCAUGGAUUCUGCAGGUGUCGGAGCUGUAGACCCAUUUUCUCCUUCUAUCUUUUGACCUCUUUUGGUUGAAGUUUGAGCAAGUUCAGAGCUGGUGGAUGCUGGUGGGCAGCUCAGACUGUGCUUAGCAUGACUCACAGUCUGCUCUGGUGUCUCAGUGGACAAACACAAUGGCCCUUGUACACAAUAGUCUCUCUCCCGCUGGAAUGCGAAACACGCUCGAGCCGUUUCCGAUACUAUAUAUCUGAGUAUUGUGUUACAUGAGGGCUCAGCGUUGUACAAACACGCACCGCUCUGACCCCUGUGACUUUAACGGUCAUUAGCCGUGCUAGCACUGAAUCAUCAGUCCGAUUAUUAUGCGCAAUGGAAAAGUUCCCCAGGAAGGAAGUGCCAGCACGCUGCUGAGGUCGGUGCCUGGAUGCUGAGGUCUGCUGGGAUCUGUGGUGCUUUCAGGAACAUUAGGGUGAUUACCACGUGCUCAGACUCCCAACCGCUGCUCUCCUCCCUCUGUGUGGGAGUGUGGGUCCUGGAGAAUGAGGCCGUGUGGGAUCCUGUUGUGUCUCUGUGACACUGCAGCUUGACUGGAGAAUGAUUUCCAACGGCCUCGAGAUCCGUUACGUAACGUCACAGCACAAGUUACGCAACGUGAUCUGCUCACAGGAGCCGUCCAUCAGAACGAUGCGAAGCGUCGCCAGCUGUGCUACUUAGCGUCUGCAGCCAUCGGUGGGGACGGCGGCGUCCUGGCGGCUCUGCUGCGACCGGGCGCUUCCCGUUAAUCUGCUGCUUUCCAGCCUGCGCCCUCAUUUGCAUGCAACGCGCCGCCGCUGGCUAGAAACCGCCCCCUCUCCUCAAGUGAUGCUCAGACAGAGGAGCUUUAGUGGCGACUGGUUCUAGAUGAGGUGGUAAAACCCGUGAACAUCUGUGUGAUGACGAUCCAUCCAAUAUAUGAAUGUUUGCUCGCCCGGUGAGCUUUGCUGUGGUUUUCAGAAACCCUCUGCGCACAUUCCUCCACUUUGCACUUUGUUUUCGCGGCCUCCUCUCCCUCGCAGCCUGUUUUGUCCCCCAUGCCCUGAUGAGUCACUUCCAUUAUCAAAUACCCGACUAAUUCCCCUACUUAAUCUCUUGCUUUGCUUCUUUUCUCUUUCUCUCUCCCCCCGUUCCUCUCACAUGCUAACCAAACCAAUACUUCUCUUUUUUCCCCUUUUAUCUCCACUGAGCAAGAUAAGCCACAGCGGGGCACCGGGUCACGAAGCCUGUGGAAUGACGGCGGCCUUUCCUGCCGAGCGCUGGGGAAAAACACUUCAUUUGUCUGGGUUCACAGUGUCAUUUUCCCAGAGUCGCACAAGGAGAGUUCACAUCACCACUCUUUGUGUCUCUGCUUUCUCACCUUGGACCUUCACGCUGCUUCUUCAAGUCACAGCCCGUUCACUGAGCGGCUGCGGCGUCGUUUUUCUUAAACACCAGGAUGCAGUCGGAGCUGGUAGAGAGGAGAAGGGGAAUUUUUUUGUUGUCUAAGCCCGUGGCUGACUGGUAGGGUGGAGCGGUGAGGAAUGCACUAAUCACGCAAGUGCUGCCGUGCCUUUGCCAACUGCCCGGCCUUUUGUCUGCACUGGGAAACCAGAACCAGGCUUUGCGUAUUUCUCUCUUUCUGCACAAACAGUGAGAGUGGGAAAUAGUUUUUGUGUGCUUUCUAGGAAGGCCCCCCCCCCCCCCCCCCCAAACUUCCCAACCCUGUCUUCUUUCCUUGCUGUGACAGCCUGAGAGAAGAAUAGGUGGUAUUCAGCGCCUGGUGUCCUUUGUACCUGUCCACCUGUCCUUUCAUGCCAUCCAACGCGUCAUCAGCGGUCACAGGCUUCAGUCUGGGUUCCUCCUGCGGUUAAUGCGAGUUAAGUGUUGGGUGAUGGCGGCGGCAAAGAACCAGAUGAUCACGGUAUCAAAUUAAGAACAGCUAGUGAGGACUACAUGUCAAACCACGGUGUUGCUUGGAACGGAGCUUCACAAUAACAGGUUGGGCAGAGGAUCUAUUUACUAUAAACAAGUGGCCUCCACAUAAUUAUUCUAAUAAAUGUUACCUUUACAGCCAUCAUAACCUCAUUAAAUCAUAAUUAACUCAUGUUAUUCCUGUCUGUUAAGUCACAGUUUGACCUGCAAAAGAGACCAGACACACAUAAUCACAUGCUUUAUUAUAAGGUACUAAGGUAAUUUGAAAUGAGCCUUGUUCCAUUUGUUUGAUUUUGGAUGGACCAAGCAUUUUGGUGUUUGGCGUCUUAAACCAAGACUUGAGCGCUUUCGUGCUCCAAAUUCCAUUUAGUCUGCGGGGAAACGGAGUUAACUGCUGCUUUAUGGUUGAAGAUGCAGCGUUGAUUGCUCCUUUACACAGAGCAGAUGGCAGCUCCAGUGUCCCCAGUGUGUUCUUGGCCUUAAGGGCCGACAAACGGCAGCACGUGCUGAGGCGCCCGGCACGGGAAAACCUCUGCCUCAAAAAGAUAAGCAGCUGCUUUGACCCCGUUAAAUGGGAAGGAUGCGUCCGAUGUAUAAGGAAAGAGAGAGAGUAAACCAGUGUUAGCUCCAAGGAAAAUGACAUAUUCACACACAAACGCAGGCUUCCUAUACAGCAUCUGCCUUUAUCGGCUCCCGCUGAAGCUGAACCGCAGCACAAAGCUCUGACUUUAGGUCUCCAAUCCAGGCGAAAUUGGAAAAAAGUGGAAAUU